rnacentral:lncRNA from 1 species
UUAAAAUUGACAUUUUCAGUGAAUUCCCUUUUAUUACACGACCCAAGAAAUUUGUUUGAAUAUCGGAUGACAUAUUUAUUUUAUUUUUUUAGAGUCUACAUGACUAUGCGCGUGCAAGUCUCCAAAUUAUAGUUGAAAAUUCGGAUCAAUUUGCAAUUAAUUCGGGAAAAUCGAUCAAAAUCAAAGUAUUUUACAAGGAUGACAGAAAAUCAGCUCAACCGCUCCUUGACUUGUAUGCCAAAGUUCUUCAGGAUUGUAACGACCUAAAUGUAGAAUUUGUGCCCACUCAACUCUCUACAAAGCACGAUUCAAAAAUUUCUACCAGUAUCACUUACAUCUCUGAUCCGAAAGAAUUAACGCACCUGCCAAACGGGGAGGACGCUGAGAACGCCUAUUUGUUUGUGGCGGUGCCUUCCAAGGUCCAGAUCAAAAGUAUUGUAGACACUGCCUCAAAAUUCAAACGAAAAUAUGGUGUAAUAUAUGAACAACAAUUUAAUUCUCACAAUUAUGGACUAUUAAAAAAGAAUAAAUCAGGGCAGAAAUGGAAAGUGUGUCACGUUUCAAAAAGCGUGCUUUCAACGUUGGAUGAUUUGAACUCAGAUGGAAGGAUUAUAAACGACGGUUUUGUUUUAGUCGUUCCAAAGUCUCACUGCGUGAAUCCUACAGUUAUGAUGCCAAAAAUUUUGAAAAAGGCUCGGAAAAUAAAAAUCAGGUAUGUGCUCCAAGCGUUGUAUUCAAAGUUUCUCCAUCGAAUAAAACUAAUUAUUCAAAUUCCACCUAUACUUGCUAAUUGCGAUGCCAAUGCUCUAGCAAGUGCUAUACAAUGA